rnacentral:rRNA from 1 species
CCUACGGGUGGCAGCAGUGGGGGAUAUUGCACAAUGGGGGAAACCCUGAUGCAGCGACGCCGCGUGGGUGACGAAGUAUUUCGGUAUGUAAAGCCCUAUCAGCAGGGAAGAAAGAAGACGGUACCUGACUAAGAAGCCCCGGCUAACUACGUGCCAGCAGCCGCGGUAAUACGUAGGGGGCGAGCGUUAUCCGGAUUCACUGGGUGUAAAGGGAGCGUAGACGGCCGUGCAAGCCAGGAGUGAAAGCCCGGGGCCCAACCCCGGGACUGCUCUUGGAACUGUGCGGCUGGAGUGCGGGAGGGGCAGGCGGAAUUCCUGGUGUAGCGGUGAAAUGCGUAGAUAUCAGGAGGAACACCGGCGGCGAAGGCGGCCUGCUGGACCGCGACUGACGUUGAGGCUCGAAAGCGUGGGGAGCGAACAGGAUUAGAUACCCUUGUAGUC